UGAGUCGCAUAAGCAUUUAGGGGUUAUUAUAAAUGAAGAUGGAAGCUGGAAUAAUCAUGUAAAAAUGAUUAUUGAUAAGGCUAUUCCUAGAUUAGCAUUAUUCCGGAAAGUUAAAGUUUAAACUUAAAAGGAAACAUUUAGAAACUAUUUAUUUAUCUUUCAUUCGCCCAGUCUUAGAAUAUGGGGACAUUGUCUGGGAUAAUAUACCUAAUUAUUUGAAAACAUCUCUGGAAAACUUACAACUAGAAGCAGCAAGAAUCGUUACAGGUGGUACUAAGAUAACAUCGAGACAGUUGCUGUACGAUGAAACCGGUUGGGAAACUCUCCAGUCUCGGCGUGACAAACAUAAGUUAUUAAAAUUUCAUCAAAUGUUUCACGGAGAUUGUCCUGAUUAUCUUUCUGUGUUAGUCCCAAAUCAGAGACUAGAUCUACACGACCACAGGACCAGGGGGUCUUCAAAUUUACAAACUGUAUUAUGCAGAACAAGCUAUUAUCAAAAGUCAUUUCUACCAGCCGUAGUAAACCUUUGGAACAAUAUUCCUGACGACAUCCGUCUAAAUCAAUCAAAAUCGGGUUUUAAGACUUAUCUCUCUCAAAAUAUUAAUAAAAUACCAUUGUAUUUUCACUUCGGCUGUAGAAGAGAACAGAUAUGCUUAGCAAGAAUAAGGCUCCAGAGUAGUGUUCUAAGGGACCAUCUAUUUAAAAAAAAUCUAAUCGAGAACGCACUGUGUUCCUGUGGUCGAGUAGAAACUACUUCUCAUUAUUUCUUCAAAUGUCCAAAAUAUAAUGAAAUUCGAAGGGAUACUAUCGGGACGAUCUCUUGUUUUAAUCUUAAGAUUAUCUUAUAUGGGGAUGGUCUAAAAGCUGACGAGGACAAUAUGCAAAUAUUUCAUAAAGUUUCUGAAUACAUAAAUAAAACAAAACGUUUUGAAAGUUAAUCUAGUAUAUGUAUAUAUAUUAUAUAUUUAUACUUUUUUUUUUAAAUAUGAUGUAAAAUCGAGUGGAUUGUCCGUUGUAAUUGAUUGUGGUCGAACGUUUGUGUUGGUUCCAGUGACUGUCUAGAAAAGUAAAUAAGAGUUGACUGUUUUUGUCGUUUGUUUUUUUUUUUUUUUUUUUUUUUUUUUUUUUUUUUCCCCUCACUUUUUAUUGUUUUCCUUUAUUUUAUUUGUUUUGUAUUUUUUGUAUUUUUUUUUAUUAUUUUUUUUUUUUUGCGUGUGUGUGUGUGUUUAUUUAUUCAAUGUAUCAUAUGCUACCAUAAAAUGAAUAUACUGUUGGCACGUAAUAUUGUAUGUUAAAUAGAUUUUUUUUGUUUUUUUUUUAGGGAGACGGAUUUAUAAAAGUUUUUCCAAACUUGUUUCCGAAUCCCAUAUUUGAACUUUAUGUAACAUUGUAAUAUUUGUCUUGACAUUUUUCAUUAAUAAAUACUGUUUAAAC
rnacentral:lncRNA from 1 species